AUGGGAAGGGAGGGAGAGGGAGAAGGAAAGAGGGGGCCAUCGAGAUGUACGGAUCCAUGUGUCUACAUACAUAGAUUCUAUUCAUGGAUUAACAAAAAUGUGCAAGAGCUCUAUUUGCCUAUGUCAUUCUAUGAGUCGCUUCCUUUUUGCGUAUGGCACACCCUUUGUCAGCACCUACUAAUUCAGAACUUAAUUUGA
rnacentral:rRNA from 1 species